UACAGAGGUGGCAAGCGUUGUUCGGAAUUACUGGGCGUAAAGGGCGCGUAGGCGGCUUGGUCAGUCCCGUGUGAAAUCCCUCGGCUCAACUGAGGAACUGCACGGGAAACUGCCUGGCUUGAGUUCGGGAGAGGGAAGCGGAAUUCCGGGUGUAGCGGUGAAAUGCGUAGAUAUCCGGAGGGACACCGGUGGCGAAGGCGGCUUCCUGGACCGACACUGACGCUGAGGCGCGAAAGCUAGGGGAGCAAACGGG
rnacentral:rRNA from 1 species